rnacentral:lncRNA from 1 species
GCUUACCAACCAAAAAAAAAAAGCAACCAACCAUAUGGAGUUCCCCAACAUCUUGUUCUAUUAGCUUGAGGCAAAUAAUAAUUGAAAAGCCUUUUGGUAGAAUGACAAUAAAAGGAACGAAUUGAUCCUUUCUUAAACUGUUUGUCGUUUUUAGUUUUAGCUAACAUUAGCCAAGGAGCACAAGGGAUGAUACAACCCUUUAGUUUUUUCACAACAAAAUGCCAUGACUUGCAAACGCAACUAAAUCGCGCAAAUUCAUUAGGAUAAGGUGGUAGUCGUUUGAAAACAAGAUCAAUGUUUCUUCGGGCAAUUCAGACCAAUUUGCCAUAAUACAAUAGUAGUUGUACAAGAAGAGAACAACUUUUCAGAAUUUCUUCUAACAAUUCUCUAGGUAACAACAAAUAUGGUGAUGGGGUUGGUAUUAGAAUACUCAAAUUCCUCUAGCUAGUGAGUCCUAAUAUUUUCAGAAAUCCAAAUUAUAAAAUGUUUAACAAAAAAAAAAAGGCAAUUUCUAUUUUCUAAAGUUAAAAACUUAAAACAACUUACCAUGAACAAGCACUAGCAGAAGCAGAAGCAGAACAACAACAACAGCAGAACAAAGAGAAGCCCUCAAGUCUUAAACCAAAAUAGAAAGAGACAGGCAGAUGAUGAUCUAGGGUUCAGUUGGAAAUAAUAUCAGAAACCCAUCCAAUCACCAGAUUUAAGAAAUCCUUCAAACUCUUGAUUGGAACUUGGAAGAUUGAAGGUAGAGGUAACAAAAAACUCCAAGCUCACUGGUAUUAGAAUUCUCAAAUUCCUCUAGCUAGUGAAUCCUAAUGCUUUCAAGAAUCCAAAUUUUAAAACGUUUAACAAGGCAAUUUCUAAAGUUAAAUCUUUAGCUUACCUUUGAAGACGCACUAGCUUAGCAGAACAGCAAGAAGAGAAAUCAUUGAAGAAAAUCCCCAAAUCUAUCAAACUCUUGAUUGAAGACUGAAGAGUGUGAGAAAGGGAUUAAAAACUCCAAGCUCACUGAUUUGAUUUGGACCUUUGGCAAAAGUAAAAGUAGUUUGAGAGUUUUCUUAUAUUUAAAAAAUGGUCCCUAUAUCUUCACUUUAUCAAUAAAACCCCAAACUUCAAACCAAAUAAAAAUUGGGUACAUAUUUCCUGUACAACUUCAAGUCUUCAACCAAAUAAGAAUUAUAUUGAAUCUUAGGUAGUGGGUUGAACUGCGUAUAUGUGUGUUGAGACUUGGGAGAUCACUUAACUUCCAAAUAAUAACACAAUCAGGUAAGAAUUGCAUGAUGCAUUGAUACUGUCGGAAAUUUGCAGCUAGCUGCAAGGUUUCGAGAGAACUUGGCUAUGUGAAUGCAUUUUGGUUGAUGGACGUUUUGUCGAGGCGACCCCAGUUUAUGCAGAUCCACUGGUUUUGGGAUAGACAAGGGUGGUAAUGUGGUAUGCAUUUUAUAAUUUGCAUAAUAGAAAAAAUAAAAAAAAUAAAAAAAAAACCUCUCGCUCGAAAAUGACCCCUGUUUAAUGACUUCACAGAGAUUCAGGUUUGACAGAGGCCACUUCUACUUGAUAUUUCAUCAGUCUUGACUGUAAUGAAUAUUAGUGUAUCUAAAUAAAACAUCUGCAUACAAUAUUUUGGGAACUUAAACAUAGUUAUCAGGCUAUGUUUUCAUAAAAAAAAAGGGCUUACAUUAGAGCACUUAUUACACAGAGUUGUGCAAAAUCAUUGGAAGCUUAUCUGAGUUCUAAACUUACAAUGUAUUCACUUUAUCUAACCUACUUUUCUUCUGAUACAUAUAUUCAAAUGUAGGCAUUUUCGUUAACGUAGCUUAAAUGUCUUAAGAGGUAAUUAUCAUCCACAAAUCAAAUCUCAAUAGAUUAAGAAGACUAGUAGAGGCUGUGAAUAUAACAAGUAAACACACUCCGACCUUCUGUCAAUGGUAACACCAAAACCAAAUUUCUGAUCAGCAAAGUCAAAUUAAAGUUGGAUACUAUGUAGGCCUUAAUUGCCUCCGAGCUAAAAGUUGCUGCAGAGCCACAGAAGAUCAAUUUAGCAGAAGCAGACUGCACCCACUGCCACUGGCAUGUUCCAAAUGCAACAGGAGUUAAUAGAUAAACAAAGUGCUUCGAGAACCAGAUGCUCAUGGACUCAUGGUUUGUGAGAAGAGGUUUAUCAGUAAGAGUCAUCUCCAUGAUAAAUAACAUUGUUUUCAAUGAAAAUAAAAUCUUGUUUGGCCAAUUAUAUAGUGUUGAAAGGAGCAGGCAAUUUGAAGUUCACAACUGAAUUACUUGAGCCCAUUAAAGUUCACAAAGUCAAUUGCGAACAAACUCAGCAGCAAGGUGCUGAGGCUAUUUUACUUCCGUCAUUUUGCAUCUUAGUGUGAUGAUCUGAUCUUGCAAUCUGCCUUUUCUGCGUACCUUGACAGGGAAGAAUGGACUAAGACAAAAAAAAAAAAAAAUCUACAUGACACACUUGAUUUUUAAGGAUCAACCAGCCACAAGUACAAAAUAAUCUCAAGAUGACAGUAAAACCACAUCAACCAGAUCUACACAGAAAUCAAAAUCUCUUAAACCAGAUAUGAGGGAAUCAAAUAGAUGGAUCAAACAAUCAAGUACAUUAAACCAAAUAGAAUGCAAACAAAUCAAACCAAAUUAUAACUCACUCACGGCUGGCUUUCAAAUCAUUUGACCAAGAAAAAGUUGUACAAUUGCUUAACUACGGAAAUAAUAAAAUUAAUUUAAAUGCCAUACAUUGACACAAUGAUGUAAAAGAUAUUGUAUCAUUACAGAGUAGGCAUAAAGAAAACCGGGCGAGAAAACGUAGAAAGUUGAUGAUCAUCAAAAUUAAAAGGCUCUAUCGUGUUAUUCUCGAUAUCAUAGAUUCCCAUGUCGCAGAAGCCAUGAGGAUAAAAGUCAGAAUGGUCGUCAGUGAAGUAGAUGCAAUUCUCUUUAAAUUCUGGGUAGUCCGAAGUUGAGAUGGCAAAAGAAGUAUUAUUCCCUAGAAACAAAGCAUGGUCACCCAAAUCUUCUACCUCAGUCCACGCCUUUGAACGAAAAUCAAACCUGUACACCACAAAAUAUGUUGUUUCGUUGUGGCAGGGUAUUGUAGGUAGAUCAUCGGUGGUAUCGAAAGCUCGUUCCACCAUGUAAAGAUCCCCAGACAAUUCGACGAGAUAAAAUCUGCUACAAAUAUAAACAUUGUCUGGGGGUGAUGCAAAAUCUGUUGCUUUAGGCUGCCGUGUGUUGACCUCAAUAAUUCUUAACAUUCCAUCACAAGAAAUAGCAUAAAAGUGGCCAUUGAAGAAUAUGAUGUCUUGGUAGUUUGACCUAGAACAAUCCACGGAUGUCCAAACUUCAUCUCCAGGAGAAGCAACAGCAAGAUAGCGUAUUUCUCCAUAUAUAGCCAUAACCAAAGGGCAUUGUCCAGACUCAGGGAUAGAUGGAUCAGAUGAAAGAGCAAAUUUUGUAAAGUAACUCUGACAAAGGUGUUCAGGACAAUACGCAUCGAAUUGGUGUUGGUGUUCAAACGUGGGCUGUGAUGGAAGAGAUAUUUGAACACGGGAUAAUGGAUGUAAAAGAUGGAUUUUAAGGUCAAGACCAAAGGUGAGCAACCAACCAUAUGGAGUUCCCCAACAUCUUGUUCGUUUAGCUUGAGGCAAAUAAUAAUUGAAAAGUCUUUUGGUAGAAUGACAAUAAAAAGAACGAAUUGCUCCUUUCUUAAACUGUUUGUCGUUUUUACUUCUAGCUAGCAUUAGCCAAGGAGCAAAACGGAUAAUAUUACUCUUUUGUUUUUUAACAACAGAAUUCCAUGACUUGCAAACACAACUAAAUCUCGCAAAUUCAUUAGGAUAAGGUGGCAGUCGUUUGGCAACAAGAUCAAUGAUUUCUUCUGGCAAUUCA